UCAUGCCCAAAAGAAGAAGAAGAAGAGUAGAUUGAAGGGCCGACCUGCGUAGCGCCAUAAACCUUACUUUUUCUCGUGUUCUCCUUCAAACUACAAUGAAGAGAAGAUCCACAGCCUGUAAGAAGAAGGUGGAGAGUACAGUGGCGGCCAGGGAAAGGAAGAAACACCGCAGAGAAGCCUUCAUAUGACGAAAGUCUGGACCAUGGGGUCUGUGUGGUCUGAUUGUCUAUGUAAAUCUAUGUAAAUCCACUACGCCACCACAACCACCACCACCAAAUCACCACACUAAGCCCCUGCGUUACUGCCGCUAAGAAGAGAUCAUCUCUAUCCACCUCAUCAAACAGGGGGCUUCGUGGUGCAGUGGUUAGCACACUCGGCUCACAACUGAGAGAGCCCAGGUUCGAUUCCCAGGUGGAGUGGAAAAAUUUGGGCGGCUUUUCUGACACCCUACGCCCCUGUCCUCCCAGCAGUGAAUGGGCACCAGAUUGGCUACAGUGAAGGUCGUGGCAGCCAAGCAGAGAGUGUACUCAAACUCCUGCUGUGAGCUACUCCAUCCUGAGGGCUAAGACCUACGCCCUCACCACCUCUGUGAAGGAUGCACAGCUGACCCAACCCUCCUCGGUGGAGUGAGGGAACGCAACACCUCUGGCCCUCCCUGGCGAUGGCGGGCAAGACCAAGACCUAGAGUUCCCUGAGCAAGCCUGGCCUGAGGAACAUUGCCUUGGUGUGUGGGGUGACCUUUCUCAUGACCCGGGAUGACCUGACAUGGCGGACGCUAUGGUGUGUGUUGAUGCUGGGACCAAGGAGAAGAAGAGGAGGAGAAGGAUUAUGAUGAUAGAGGCAACACAAAGAAAAGAAAAAAAGGAGGAAGAAGAAUGGAGGAGGAGGAGGACACACACACACACACACACACACACACACACACACACACACACACACACAC